rnacentral:rRNA from 1 species
UACAGAGGGGGCAAGCGUUGUUCGGAAUUACUGGGCGUAAAGGGCGCGUAGGCGGCCUUCUAAGUCGAACGUGAAAUCCCCGGGCUCAACCCGGGAACUGCGUCCGAGACUGAAAGGCUCGAAUCCGGGAGAGGGAUGUGGAAUUCCAGGUGUAGCGGUGAAAUGCGUAGAUAUCUGGAGGAACAUCGGUGGCGAAGGCGGCAUCCUGGACCGGUAUUGACGCUGAGGCGCGAAAGCCAGGGGAGCAAACGGG